UACGUAGGGGGCAAGCGUUGUCCGGAAUCAUUGGGCGUAAAGCGCGUGUAGGCGGUCCGGUAAGUCCGCUGUGAAAGUCGGGGGCUUAACCCUCGGAUGCCGGUGGAUACUGUCGGGCUUGAGUACGGAAGAGGCGAGUGGAAUUCCUGGUGUAGCGGUGAAAUGCGCAGAUAUCGGGAGGAACACCAAUGGCGAAGGCAGCUCGCUGGGACGUUACUGACGCUGAGACGCGAAAGCGUGGGGAGCAAACAGGG
rnacentral:rRNA from 1 species